rnacentral:rRNA from 1 species
AUUGAACGCUGGCGGCAUGCCUUACACAUGCAAGUCGAGCGGCAGCGCGGGGGCAACCCUGGCGGCGAGCGGCGAACGGGUGAGUAAUACAUCGGAACGUGUCCAGUAGCGGGGGAUAACCUGUCGAAAGAUAGGCUAAUACCGCGUACGACCUACGGGUGAAAGCGGGGGACCGCAAGGCCUCGCACUAUUGGAGCGGCCGAUGUCGGAUUAGCUAGUUGGCGGGGUAACGGCCCACCAAGGCGACGAUCCGUAGCUGGUCUGAGAGGACGACCAGCCACACUGGAACUGAGACACGGUCCAGACUCCUACGGGAGGCAGCAGUGGGGAAUUUUGGACAAUGGGCGCAAGCCUGAUCCAGCCAUGCCGCGUGAGUGAAGAAGGCC